GCAAAAAUAUGAUGAACUACCAAAUAAUAUUUAUUAAUUCAUUUACAAAGCACAACUAUCUACAGCUAGAUAAUUGGCUUUAGGAUAUAUUUCCAACAAGAAUCAUCUGCUUCAAGUAGAAAAAUGGGUUUAGAAGAAGGUCUUAGGUAAAAGAUCUAAGAUCUUGAGAAGAAACUAAUGAAAAUUCAGAUCAGCAGCUCAC
rnacentral:lncRNA from 1 species